GAUGAACGCUGGCGGCGUGCCUAAUACAUGUAAGUCGAGCGAAUGGAUUAAGAGCUUGCUCUUAUGAAGUUAGCGGCGGACGGGUGAGUAACACGUGGGUAACCUGCCCAUAAGACUGGGAUAACUCCGGGAAACCGGGGCUAAUACCGGAUAACAUUUUGAACCGCAUGGUUCGAAAUUGAAAGGCGGCUUCGGCUGUCACUUAUGGAUGGACCCGCUUCGCAUUAGCUAGUUGGUGAGGUAACGGCUCACCAAGGCAACGAUGCGUAGCCGACCUGAGAGGGUGAUCGGCCACACUGGGACUGAGACACGGCCCAGACUCCUACGGGAGGCAGCAGUAGGGAAUCUUCCGCAAUGGACGAAAGUCUGACGGAGCAACGCCGCGUGAGUGAUGAAGGCUUUCGGGUCGUAAAACUCUGUUGUUAGGGAAGAACAAGUGCUAGUUGAAUAAGCUGACACCUUGACGGUACCUAACCAGAAAGCCACGGCUAACUACGUGCCAGCAGCCGCCGCAG
rnacentral:rRNA from 1 species